GCAUAUCAAUAAGCGGAGGAAAAGAAACCAACAGGGAUUGCCCCAGUAACGGCGAGUGAAGCGGCAACAGCUCAAAUUUGAAAUCUGGCCCCUCGGGGUCCGAGUUGUAAUUUGUAGAGGAUGCUUUUGGUGAGGUGCCGCCCGAGUUCCCUGGAACGGGACGCCACAGAGGGUGAGAGCCCCGUCUGGCUGGCCACCGAGCCUCUGUAAAGCUCCUUCGACGAGUCGAGUAGUUUGGGAAUGCUGCUCAAAAUGGGAGGUAUAUGUCUUCUAAAGCUAAAUAUUGGCCAGAGACCGAUAGCGCACAAGUAGAGUGAUCGAAAGAUGAAAAGCACCUUGAAAAGAGGGUUAAAUAGUACGUGAAAUUGUUGAAAGGGAAGCGC
rnacentral:rRNA from 1 species